CGAGUGGCGGACGGGUGAGGAAUACGUCGGAAUCUGCCUAUUUGUGGGGGAUAACGUAGGGAAACUUACGCUAAUACCGCAUACGACCUACGGGUGAAAGUGGGGGACCGCAAGGCCUCACGCAGAUAGAUGAGCCGACGUCGGAUUAGCUAGUUGGCGGGGUAAAGGCCCACCAAGGCGACGAUCCGUAGCUGGUCUGAGAGGAUGAUCAGCCACACUGGAACUGAGACACGGUCCAGACUCCUACGGGAGGCAGCAGUGGGGAAUAUUGGACAAUGGGCGCAAGCCUGAUCCAGCCAUGCCGCGUGUGUGAAGAAGGCCUUCGGGUUGUAAAGCACUUUUGUCCGGAAAGAAAAGCAUUGGGUUAAUAACCCGAUGUCAUGACGGUACCGGAAGAAUAAGCACCGGCUAACUUCGUGCCAGCAGCCGCGGUAAUACGAAGGGUGCAAGCGUUACUCGGAAUUACUGGGCGUAAAGCGUGCGUAGGUGGUUUGUUAAGUCUGAUGUGAAAGCCCUGGGCUCAACCUGGGAAUGGCAUUGGAAACUGGCUUACUAGAGUGCGGUAGAGGGGUGUGGAAUUCCCGGUGUAGCAGUGAAAUGCGUAGAUAUCGGGAGGAACAUCUGUGGCGAAGGCGACACC
rnacentral:rRNA from 1 species